AUUGAACGCUGGCGGCAUGCCUUACACAUGCAAGUCGAACGGCAGCACGGGUACUUGUACCUGGUGGCGAGUGGCGAACGGGUGAGUAAUACAUCGGAACGUACCUUAUCGUGGGGGAUAACGCAGCGAAAGCUGUGCUAAUACCGCAUACGCCCUUAGGGGGAAAGCGGGGGAUCGCAAGACCUCGCGCGAUUAGAGCGGCCGAUGCCUGAUUAGCUUGUUGGUGGGGUAAAAGCCCACCAAGGCGACGAUCAGUAGCUGGUCUGAGAGGACGAUCAGCCACACUGGGACUGAGACACGGCCCAGACUCCUACGGGAGGCAGCAGUGGGGAAUUUUGGACAAUGAGGGAAACCCUGAUCCAGCAAUGCCGCGUGAGUGAAGAAGGCCUUCGGGUUGUAAAGCUCUUUUGUCAGGGAAGAAACACCGGCUCUAACACAGUCCGGGAAUGACGGUACCUGAAGAAUAAGCACCGGCUAACUACGUGCCAGCAGCCGCGGUAAUACGUAGGGUGCAAGCGUUAAUCGGAAUUACUGGGCGUAAAGCGUGCGCAGGCGGUUAUACAAGACAGGCGUGAAAUCCCCGGGCUUAACCUGGGAAUGGCGCCUGUGACUGUACAGCUAGAGUGUGUCAGAGGGGGGUAGAAUUCCACGUGUAGCAGUGAAAUGCGUAGAU
rnacentral:rRNA from 1 species